AUACGUAGGGGGCAAGCGUUGUCCGGAAUUAUUGGGCGUAAAGCGCGCGCAGGCGGUCUUUUAAGUCUGGUGUUUAAGCCCGGGGCUCAACCCCGGUUCGCACUGGAAACUGGGAGACUUGAGUGUAGGAGAGGAAAGUGGAAUUCCACGUGUAGCGGUGAAAUGCGUAGAGAUGUGGAGGAACAUCAGUAGCGAAGGCGACUUUCUGGCCUAUAACUGACGCUGAGGCGCGAAAGCGUGGGGAGCAAACA
rnacentral:rRNA from 1 species